AUAGGCUAGAGUAGAACUGCACUAUGGGGGUUUCCAAGGCUGGUGGAUUUGAAAUGCUGACCUUUUGGCUAGGAGCUAAGCUGUUUAUCACUGUGCCACCAGCUUAAAAAUAAAUAGGAAUUCCUCAAGAAGACACAGGGCAGAAAAUGAUGUUACAAGGCUGUAGCUAGAAUUGAGAAUGAUGACAUGUCUGCAGUGAGAGAAAGUGUGGUAAAUAUGGAGAGAAGAGGGAUAUGAGAUAAAACUGUUAACGGUAGACAUGGCCCAGACCAGGGAAGUUUUUUUUUUUCUCUCUCUCUCUUUUCUGAGGUUAGGAAUGUGGAUGGUGAUAGGCUGAUAAUUAUGAAUACACACCCAUAUUCUAAUACCCAGAAUCUGUGAAUGUUACCUUAUGGAAAAACAGUGAUUAAGAAUCUCAAAAUGGAGAGAUUAUCCUGGAUUAUCUAGGCAGUCCCUAAAUGCCAUUCUAUGCAUCCUUACAAGAGAAAGACAGAAGGAGAUUUGAUACACAAAGAAAAGCAGACAAUAUGGACAUGGAGGAGAGAGAGAUUUGAAGAUGCUGGCUUUGAAAAUUGGACUGACACAGCCACAAAUCAGGGAAUGCUGGCAGCCACCGGAAGCUGGAAGAGAUAAACCGUGAUUCCUGUGUUUCUGAAGAUCUCGAGAUCUAGAUUACUGUGAAAGAAGUCUCCAGUGAGACUUAGCUGUAACUUGAAAGAUGGGAAAUGAAUAUAAGAAAAUUGUCCUACUGAAUGAAUUGGAUGAUAUCGAUGAUUAUUCCUUUAAAAUACUUAAGAAUUUCCUGGCCCGUGAUUUACAAUUGACAAAAAAAAUGGAGGAAAAAUAUGGUAGAACUAAGAUUGCCGACUUGAUGGAAGAAAAGUUCCAAGGUGCUGCCUAUAGAAUGCUUAGAAGAGCAAAGUUAAAAGUUACAAAGGAUAUUGAAGAAAAGAUAAUUUUAAUGAAAAGCAGCAAGCAAGAAACAGCAGGUUCUGCAAUGCCUACAUUCACCAUGAAAGAAGGUCAGGUAAGCCUGAGGAAGGACAGGCUUGAAGUCUCACAGAAGAAACUUCCACGAUGGCUCUUGCACUCAUUCUCUCCAUUAAGAAAAAAAAAAAUACAGCCAAGGAGAAGCCUGUAGCCAAAAAGAAGAAGGUUUCCCAGGAGCAGAGUCAGCCUCCCUGUCCUUCAGGAGCCAGCUCAUCGGCAACCGUGGGUCACUCCCCACCUCCUCAAAUCUCAUCACCAACUCCAUCCUUCACUUCUUUAACUGAGGAGGAGAGCCAGAGAGGUGCAGCAUUCACGCCAGUGCAGGGGAAGACAGCAGAGUGACCAUUAACAACUGCUCCAAUCUGUGUCAUACUUGAUCCCUUUGCUCACUAAUCCAUUAUCGUUUCUUAAACACACCAUACUCAUUUCUUUUUCAGAGUUUUAAAUACCAUGUGCCUCUUAACUGGAAAUUUCUUGAUUUGACAAAACCUAUCGACCCUUUGGAUCCCAAUAUUGAUAUCCUUCUAGAGGGAGUUCUUCCUGAGACCCCAUGCAGACUAUGUGAAAACUUCAUGGUGUUCAAUUUGGAAGCACCUUAUAUUUUACUUUUUAACACUUAUAACAACCGUAGUUAGUGAAUGCUUGUUUACCCCUCUUGACUACGAGCUCCGAGAGUGGGGGAACCCUGUUGACCUUGUGAACCAAUGUAACCUAGUGCCUAGUUUUUUGCCUGCCUCACAAGAGACUCUCAAUAAAUAUAUUUACUUACUGCAAUAAUGAAAACUAAGUACUAUAAUAAUAGUCAGCAUAAUUAAGGAUAAAAUUCAGAUUGUUAAAUCCAGUAAAGGAAGUGAUAUCAAUUUUUUUUUUUUUUUUUUA